rnacentral:rRNA from 1 species
AGUGAACGCUGGCGGUAGGCCUAACACAUGCAAGUCGAACGGCAGCACAGUAAGAGCUUGCUCUUACGGGUGGCGAGUGGCGGACGGGUGAGGAAUACAUCGGAAUCUACUUUUUCGUGGGGGAUAACGUAGGGAAACUUACGCUAAUACCGCAUACGACCUACGGGUGAAAGCAGGGGAUCUUCGGACCUUGCGCGAUUGAAUGAGCCGAUGUCGGAUUAGCUAGUUGGCGGGGUAAAGGCCCACCAAGGCGACGAUCCGUAGCUGGUCUGAGAGGAUGAUCAGCCACACUGGAACUGAGGCACGGUCCAGACUCCUACGGGAGGCAGCAGUGGGGAAUAUUGGACAAUGGGCGCAAGCCUGAUCCAGCCAUACCGCGUGGGUGAAGAAGGCCUUCGGGUUGUAAAGCCCUGUUGUUGGGAAAGAAAAGCAGCAGGUUAAUACCCCGCUGUUCUGACGGUACCCAAAGAAUAAGCACCGGCUAACUUCGUG